GUGUAGAGAAAAGAUAAGAUUUCAAUUAACUGGAGGUGAAAUAUUGGUUCAGUGUGUUUUCCUCCUUGUUUUUGAUUGCUUUUUGUUUUCAGGAUAGUAAAACAUAUUUAAUAAUCAUUAUCUGAGUAUUAAGCAAUUAUUUGAAGUCGUGCUGAACUGAACCUUUUUCCCAGCAGCUCUGCUUUGACACUUUGCAAUAAGGCAGUCUGGCCAAGUAGACCCAGAUUGGCAGGAGCAAGUGCUGUAAUACUCAGUUCUCAGGGGGUGUCCAUGUCAGAAGCCUCAGGAUUCCAAGGCAUGGCAAGUCAGCUGGAAAUUCAGAGUGCCAGGAGGGAAGUCCAAACUUACUUUGCAGAAGAAGGUUCUGCUGUUUCACUGAUCUGAAAAAUCCUGUGCAUCCCUCGGUGGUUUCACCUUGCACUCAGGUAUAAAGUCUCUGAAUAUGCAGGAAUUGGAGGUUUUAGAAAUGUUUGCUGUCCUAAAUGAGCACCUUGUGUCAGAAAUUUCCAUAGACGCAUCAUUCUGAGGUAAAUUUUUAUUCUGUGAAAGUAGAUGUCAGGUAUAAUUGGGAGAUUGCAUCAAAGUUCAAAGGCAGAAAUCCUCACUUUUCCAGAUUGAAUCAAUCUGGCAUUUCAGGCUUUGUUCUGGUUCUGUUCUUAUCAUUGCAGUUUUUGGAGACCACGUG